rnacentral:rRNA from 1 species
GACGAACGCUGGCGGCGUGCCUAAUACAUGCAAGUUGAGCGAUGAAGCUUGGUGCUUGCACCAAUUUGAAGAGCAGCGAACGGGUGAGUAACGCGUGGGGAAUCUGCCUUUGAGCGGGGGACAACAUUUGGAAACGAAUGCUAAUACCGCAUAACAACUUUAAACAUAAGUUUUAAGUUUGAAAGAUGCAAUUGCAUCACUCAAAGAUGAUCCCGCGUUGUAUUAGCUAGUUGGUGAGGUAAAGGCUCACCAAGGCGAUGAUACAUAGCCGACCUGAGAGGGUGAUCGGCCACAUUGGGACUGAGACACGGCCCAAACUCCUACGGGAGGCAGCAGUAGGGAAUCUUCGGCAAUGGACGAAAGUCUGACCGAGCAACGCCGCGUGAGUGAAGAAGGUUUUCGGAUCGUAAAACUCUGUUGGUAGAGAAGAACGUUGGUGAGAGUGGAAAGCUCAUCAAGUGACGGUAACUACCCAGAAAGGGACGGUUAACUACGUG